GAUCAUGGCUCAGGAUGAACGCUGGCGGCGUGCUUAACGCAUGCAAGUCGAGCGGAAAUAUUAAAAGCUUGCUUUGAAUAUUUAGCGGCGGACGGGUGAGUAACGUGUGGGUAACCUGCCAUAUACUGGGGAAUAAUCAUUUGAAAAGAUGACUAAUACCGCAUGUCGUCACCGAGGGGCAUCCCUUGGUGAAAAAAGGAGUAAUCCGGUAUAUGAUGGACCCGCAUCUGAUUAGCUAGUUGGUGAGAUAACAGCUCACCAAGGCGACGAUCAGUAGCCGACCUGAGAGGGUGAUCGGCCACAUUGGGACUGAGACACGGCCCAAACUCCUACGGGAGGCAGCAGUGGGGAAUAUUGCACAAUGGGCGAAAGCCUGAUGCAGCAACGCCGCGUGAAGGAAGAAGGGUUUCGGCUCGUAAACUUCUAUCAAUGGGGAAGAAAUAAAUGACGGUACCCAAAUAAGAAGCCCCGGCUAACUACGUGCCAGCCGCUGC
rnacentral:rRNA from 1 species